UUGUAUAGAGGCCCCGAGGACUACACAUAAUCAAAUGCUGUGACUGCAAAACUUCCUGUUCCUAGACAAAGGCCUUUCAUGCCAAAGGAGAAAGAAGAGUUCGGGGGAACAAGUGUAGUCCCUGUCUUCUUCGGGGACAUUGAGUCAGUAACACUAUGUUAUCAGUGGAGGAGCUGAGCACAGGUGCUGAGGACAGUUUCCAGCACGUGUUUGGAAGGCGGCUCUGGGAAAACGGAUUUUAGAUGAGAGAAAGCUGGAUUUGAACAUGAACGAUUUCCCUCACAGCAGCGUGGCCUGGGGGUUGGUUAUUGUUUUUUAAUUGCCCAAGUCUUAGUUUAUUGUGUGUAAAAGUGGCUAAUAAUGCCUUUCUGAUGCGUGGUUUCUAGGAUUUGUGAUAAUAUGCCCUAAAGGCCGUGCUUUGUGCCGAGUGAAUGCUUUUGCUUAAUAAGUGAGAACUAUUACUACUUCUAUAACGUCCCAACCCAUCUCUCCCCGGGCCCUCUUCUUUUUAAUGCACAGGCAACAUUCCUUCUGCUUCCCACUCCCGUCCUGCUCAGGUAGAAGUGUGCGUCAGCCAUGGACAGCAACACAGCGCUUGUAUUUCACUCUGGGAGGUGUCAUAGCCCGCCUUUCUGCACUGCAUUGCGCAUUGAAUAUUGCAUCUUGAAAAGGUUUAAAGGCCAGAAACAUUUUGUCUGAGAAUCUACAGCCGGUUCAGGCCCAAUCAGUGUGGCUGUGCAGCUCAGAUUACUUUUCCUAAUAUGGAUGUUUCUGCUCUAUUAAACCAACCAGCUGUUUACACAAGUCUUCUCUGACUGGAGAUUGCGUUUGCCUGAUAAAUAGAUCUUUUAUGGAAGAUGUAAAUUUCUUGAUUUUUUAACUUGUCAGGUUCAGGUUUCUCUUUCUGUAAAGGAGACAGACACACACAGGACACGGUUCUGUCUGUGGAAACCGUCUUCGUUCACAGAGUCCCGAGGAAAGCAUCCAGAGACCCCAGCGAGGGGUGUGGCGUGGUGAGGGCAGAAGGCUGGCCCUGGGUGCACAGUGUCUCAUCGCUGUCCCACCGUACAAGAAGUCCAGCCUCCUUUUCAUCAAAUUGUCUUUCAGAGCACGCCCACCAGGUCACACAGCCCAUCAGAGUGACUAGGGGUCAAAGGGCACGCCUUAUAGUUUAGAAGACUAUGGGACCGCUGGUGCAGUCCGGUCAUUUCCAGAUUACUUCCUAGGACUUAAUGGGUCAUAAUUGAUGGGAGGAAUGUGCGCUGGCACUCCAUUUUCACUAGGAUAAUGAUACGCUGAAGGAAUAAUGACUGGCCAACAGGAGUCUCCAAGGUGAGCGAGCUCACAAACAGUUGUAGGUCUGUCUCUCCGGAGCUCCCCACCAGCAGUCACGACAGGAUAUCCUCCACCCCAACGCCUCCAUGCCCGCCUCCCAGCGCAGCCACUCCCUUCCCAGCCUGGUAAGCAGCAUCUGUGACUGACCCGCCUGGCUCCUGCCUGACCCUCUGGGCCACCCCCAUCCACUUCCUGCUGGAAACAGCUCUUACUCCUCUAAUAAUCGGACGUGAUCAUCAUCAGAUCUAACAAUCGGAUCCUGGCAAUUAAAAGUUAGCUAUCAAAAUAGUAAGAGUUGUUGUGCAGUUGGGAAGGAAGAAACAAACUGUCUUUGCUCACAGAAGAUAUGCCUGUAUGUGUAGAAAUGCCAAAGACUCAAGAACAACAAUCUCCUGGAACUGACAUGGCUACAGCACGGGCUGCAGGGCUCACUCUUAAUGCACAAAAGCCAUCACUUUCCUACACACCAGCGGGAACCACUGAAAUCUGAAAUUAACAACCCAAUGCCAUGGGCAUAAGCACCCAAAUAAGGAGAAACACUGAGACCGAAGACUAAGAAAUGUACAAAAUAAAUGUAAGGAAAACCACCUCACUCAUGAAAACAGUCAGAGAAUGCUGGGAGAAGACCUGAAUGGAUGCAAAGAUGGUCCAUGUUCCUGGGGAGGCGACUCAAUAUUGACCAGAUGUCCGUUCUUCCCAACUUGACCUAUAGAUUCAAUGCAAUCCAACCAGAUUCAAGCAAGUUGGUUUGUGGCUAUGGACAGAAUGAUUCUGAAGUUUCUAUGGAGAGAAGCCACGUGCCCAGAGGGGCCAGCACAGUAUUGAAGGAGGAGAACAGAGUGGAGGGCCUGACACUCGGGGGUCCUGACUUAUCUAUCAUAAAGCUGCCGUGACCAUGGGGGGUGGGGGGGCGCGGUUGUUGGUGAAAUAAUGGGCAAGUAGAGCAAUGGGCAGAGCAGAAAGCCAGAACAGACCCCAUAAAUACAGUCACUUAAUCUUUGACAGAGGCGCAGAGGCAGCACAACGGAGAAAGGACAGUCCCUUUAGCCACGGGAGCUGGAAUAACUGGAUAGCUUCUUACAAAAAUAAAGCUAGACACAGACCUCACACCCGGCACAGAAAAUUAACUCAAAAUGGAUCACAGACUUAAAUGUGAAACGCAAAAUUACGAACUCCAAGCAGAUAGCAUAGGAUAAAACCUCGAUGACCGUGGGUAUUGGGAUGUCUGUAGAUACGACAUUAAAAGGGCUCUUGGUCACGGAUGCCCAUGCGUGGCUGUGGAUGACAGAAGCCAUCACAGGCCAGGCAGCUGGUCGACCAGACCAUUUCAGACGGAACAGGAGGCGGUGCAGAUAAACCGUGAGGGUCUGGUGGCAGGUGCAGCUGCAGGCAGGACAGCCUGGGAGAGGCCAUGACAGAGGGAAAGCCAGAGGCCGGGAUGUGGUGAUGGAGCCAAGAUGGCUCUGCUCACACCAGGUCUGGAGAGCAGUUCUUCCCUCAGGGGCUUGGGGACCAAGGCUGCUCUUCCCC